GACGAACGCUGGCGGCGCGCCUAACACAUGCAAGUCGAACGAGUGGAAGACUUUCGGGUCUGAAGCUAGUGGCGGACGGGUGAGUAACACGUGAGGAACCUGCCUCUCAGAGUGGGAUACCGUUUGGAAACGAACGUUAAUACCGCAUAACGUACAGAGAUCGCAUGGUCUUUGUACCAAAGAUUUUUCGCUGAGAGAUGGCCUCGCGUCUGAUUAGAUAGUUGGUGAGGUAACGGCCCACCAAGUCUACGAUCAGUAGCCGGACUGAGAGGUUGAUCGGCCACAUUGGGACUGAGACACGGCCCAGACUCCUACGGGAGGCAGCAGUGGGGGAGUAUUGCACAAUGGGCGAAAGCCUGAUGCAGCGACGCCGCGUGAGGGAAGACGGUUUCGGAUGUAAACCUCUGUUUUUAGUUGAAGAAACAAAUAGACGGUAGCUAAAGAGGAAGCCACGGCUAACUACGUG
rnacentral:rRNA from 1 species